UGGGGAAUUUUGGACAAUGGGCGAAAGCCUGAUCCAGCAAUGCCGCGUGUGUGAAGAAGGCCUUCGGGUUGUAAAGCACUUUUGUCCGGAAAGAAAUCCUUGGCUCUAAUACAGUCGGGGGAUGACGGUACCGGAAGAAUAAGCACCGGCUAACUACGUGCCAGCAGCCGCGGUAAUACGUAGGGUGCAAGCGUUAAUCGGAAUUACUGGGCGUAAAGCGUGCGCAGGCGGUUUGCUAAGACCGAUGUGAAAUCCCCGGGCUCAACCUGGGAACUGCAUUGGUGACUGGCAGGCUAGAGUAUGGCAGAGGGGGGUAGAAUUCCACGUGUAGCAGUGAAAAUGCGUAGAGAUGUGGAGGAAUACCGAUGGCGAAGGCAGCCCCCUGGGCCAAAUACUGACGCUCAUGCACGAAAAGCGUGGGGAGCAAAACAGGAUUAGAUACCCUGGUAGUCCACGCCCUAAAACGAUGUCAACUAGUUGUUGGGGAUUCAUUUCCUUAGUAACGUAGCUAACGCGUGAAGUUGACCGCCUGGGGAGUACGGUCGCAAGAUUAAAAACUUAAAGGAAUUGACGGGGUCAUAGCUGUUUCCU
rnacentral:rRNA from 1 species